UCAAGAAUAUUAGCAAUGCUCGUAAGAGUGAACUAGCUAACUGAAAUCUUAAUUUUUAAAAAUUAGGAUAAGGUAAGAGAAAUAAUGAUAUUAUCUUACUAUUAGUGUCGUCUAAAUUUGGUGCCAGAAGACUCGGUAAGACCUUAGACGCAAACGUUAAUCGUCAUAAUCAGGCGUAAAGGGUGUGUAGGCGGCUUUAAAAAAAUAUAAUUAUAAUAUUAUAAAAAUAAUAAAUUAUUAUAGCUAAAUAAAUUAUAUUCAAAUUAAAGCUAGAAUCUAAAAGAGGGUAAGCUAAACAACAUAAUUAACUGGGACUGACAACUUAUAAUAAUGUGGAGUACUAAAGGUUAAAGCUAUUUAUCUACUUAAGAUUGACGCUCAGAAACGAAGGGGAGAAUAAGAAACUUAGAUUAGAGACCUAAUUAUCUCUCUCAGUCAACGAUGAAUGGUAGUUAUUAAAAAUUAAAAUAUAAUAAUAAAAUAAUAUAUAAUUAUAUUAUAUUUUUAUUAUAUAGAUAUUAGUGACGAGGUUAACACGAUGACCAUUCCGCCUUGUUAGUAAGACUGCAAAGUUGAAAACAAAAAAAUUAGUCGGUCUUGAAGCAAACGAAGUGAAGCAUGUUAUUUAAUUCGAUA
rnacentral:rRNA from 1 species